rnacentral:tRNA from 1 species
GGACCCGUGGUCUAGUGGUAGGACGUAUGCUUCACACGCAUGAGAUCGGGAGUUCAAUUCUCCCCGGGUCCA